rnacentral:tRNA from 2 species
GCGGAUGUAGCUCAGCUGGUUAGAGCGCUGGUUUGUGGCACCGGAGGCCGUGGGUUCGAACCCCAUCAUUCGCCCCA